rnacentral:lncRNA from 1 species
CACAUAAAUUAAAAGUUACCUAAAACUUUAUAGAAUAAUUAUAGCACCUAAUAGCUAGAGUAUUUAGGUACAAUUGCAUAUAAAACUAUCAUAAAAAAAAUGACAAUUAAUAUUUAUUGGUUUUACAUAUAUAUUAUAUAUAGCACACAAUAUAAAAAAUUCUCAAAUGCCAACUUAUUUAAAAAACAAAUUUCAAGAGCGCAAUACAACAUACAUGACCAGGUCUAAGGACAUACUUAAGGUACCCAAACCCAGCACAGAAUAUAAGAAAAGAAGUUUUACCUAUCAGGGAGCCAUUGUCUGGAAUAACCUAAACCUCAAUAUGAGAAUGGCCUCAAAUGUUCAAACUUUUAAAAAACUAUUAACAAAUAAUUGAAAGUUACUUGCAUAAGAUAAUACAGUAAUUGUUUUAUUUUGGUUUAUUUUACUUCUUUAUUUCUGUUUGUCUUGUAAUUGUUUUUGUAAUUUAAAUUUUGUUAUUAUGUACUUCAGAAACGGCCUUGUGAAGACACAUUUAAUUUGUGAUCAAGUUUUCCGUUUUCAAAUAAAGUCAUUAUUAUUACUGAAUCAUCCUUUUUUUACUUGAUUAGGUUUCAAAUCACAAAACCUCUUAUCACGGACCAGCAAUCUUGGUUCUUGAGAAAGACCUCUAUGAAUUAAUGAGAAUGUAUAGAAAACAAGUACAUCCAAUUGUCGGCGCUGCAUUUAGCCAGACAUUUUUCAAAACAAGCAGUGGACAGGAAAUCAGACCAUGUCAGGACUUAACAUGACUAUGGCAUAAUUAACUGCACCCACUUUCGUAAGCAAAUUGCUACUAUGUCAUGGCAACACAAUCAUCAAGAAAAAAACCGCAGGCUUAUUGCGGAGUAUAUGCAUCAUUCCAUCAAUACGCAAAAUGCGUAUUAUAAAGCUGCCCAACGGCAGGAAGAUGCCAUUGUUGCCAAGCAUCUAUUGAUAAAGAUAAAAUAAACUGAACCAGAUGUGCCAGGGCAUGAUGAAGGUGGAGAAGAGAAUAUUACCGACUCAGAAGUGGAAGCCACAACCACAGUGGAGGAUACCACAGAGGCCCCUGUGACUUUGCCGGUAGAGUAAUAACUGAAAAAAUUUUGUGUAGAUAACAGUGAAUUUUUGCAAGCUCACAAAAAUGAUAAUGAAUAUGAUUUACAUCAUGAUUUUUUUUUAGUCCAUCCCCUACAGUAGCAUAUUUUCCACUUUUGUUUUUAACACGUUACGCUAUAAAACAAAAAGAAAAUGCAUACUUUUGGAGUCCGUACUGAGCCCAAAAAAUCCGCAAUGAAAAUAUAACGUGUUUUUUUGUUUUAUGUAUGAAUUACAAUAUUGAACUGUUUUUGAGUUCUAAAGUUUUCAGCAGCUCGUAUGAGUUAUCAAAGAAUAUUUUGGAAAGAAUGUCAAAAAUGAAAAUUAUAUAUUUGUAAUUGUUACCAUUUUUGUGAAGUUGCCAAUUCUCCCUAAUGUCAGAGGUCUUAAAUCUUCAGUUAUUUAAAGGUUUUUAUAUUGCCUCCUGCCAAAAGAAAUAUUUAAUUUUGGUAUUUUCAAACUAUUUUCCUGAAAAUUAAUGUUAUUUAAAAACUCUCGCUUUUGGUACAAUCAGAUGUAGUAUCACUCGAUCAUUAACAAAUUUAUAUAUAAUAUAUAUAGAUAUAAAGAUACAAUAUUUCAGUCAUUAUAAACUUCAGUUUCAUGCAUAUUCAUUGUAAUAUACUGUACUUGUCUUAAUCAUUUAUACUUUAAAUUAGAAUGAAAUCUCCAAAAAGCCUGCCUUUAAUCAGGACAAUUAUUCAAAGUAUAGUAUAUCCAUGUACAGUAAUACAUAUUUCAGACUUAACUAAACUUAAGCUACGUUCACAUCAAGCCCGGAUUCCGGUCCGGAGUCCAGAGAAAAAAUUGUGAAAAAGGGGUUCAGUGGUAAAUAGGACCGUUCACAUCAAAUUCGUAAGAUUUCCAAUCCGGACUCCGGAUAUGAACCGAUGGAUCUGAGAGCCAUUUGUAUCCUGAAAUCGUUUUUUUUUUCUUGGACCAAUCAGCAAGAAGCUUGAUUGGUUCGGACCAAUCAAACGCACGCGUACUUAACCCGAACAGCCGUGUUCCGUGUGCGAUGUGGACGCAGCUUUCAAAAAAACGUAGUAACUCACGAUUUUUUAUCCAGGCUCCGGAGCGGAUCCGGGCUUGGUGUGAACGUAGCUUAAUACCAUGUUUUAACUGAGUAAAUAUAUACUUUAAAACAGAACUGUCGCCGGACCAGAUACGUGUUCUCGGACAUCGACAUUGGCUUACUGAAGACACUCUUUGGUGGCCUAAUGGAGGAAAAGAUCACUAAAGAAAAGGUCAGUAUUAACAUGGCUAUUUAAAUUAGCUCUUCAAACCAAUACCAUGAGGGUGUUUUUGAUUGCAGCAGAAACAUAUAAUAUAUAAAAUAUUCACCAGGAACUGAGCCUACAUAAAGAAGUAUUGUUCCCUGAAAAAGGAUAUGUUAAUUUCAAAGGAGCAAAUCAUUAUUUUUUUAAUUCUUUAUGAUUAUUUUGGUUUCAUUUGCAUGAGACUGUACAUCUUUAAACAUUGUAUCAAGUAAAUUCAUAAUGCAAGUUUGAUCAGUGGAAAUACACUGAGGCAAUAAGAUUCAAUAUUUAUUAUACAUGAUUUUUUCCCCCUAUGUACAGUAACUGUUAAUAAGAAAACUUAUGGAAUUAUUAAUUUCAGGUAAUGGCGAUCUACAAGAAAAACGUGGCAAUACAACACAUGAAAUGGAAAUGGAUAAAGUGAGAAAUUUACAGACAGAAGGAAAAAAAUAGUAACCAUGUGACUUAUUCAAAGGCCAAAAAAAAUUUGUGUUUGCCUUCAUUCACCCGCCCCUAACUCACUCAAAAAAUAGAGCAGGAAAAAAAGGGGUUUUUUAGCUUUCUUCUGUAAAAAUUUAAAAAAAAAGUGAGUGAAAAUACCUUUAUUUUUUGCCAGAUGCCCCACAAAUUAGUUACAGUUGUUCUAGGCCUCUGUGGGUUAUAUUUAUACCAUCAUAUGAGUAUUGAAAAAUAAAGAAAUAAAAAAUGUUUGCACCUGCCUCUAUUUAUCAUUUUCAAAAAAAAGAAGGGCAAGCAAACAAAUUGUUUUUACCCCCCAACCUCAAGCCCAUAAUUCGGUUUGGGUUAAAGCCAUAAUCACAACUGCUGCAUCUACCGCUCCAACAAAUCAUGAUAUAGGCCUAUUACUGGGUAGUUUAGAUAGGACUUUCGGAAUUUCCACAUAUGAGUCAUUAUAUACAGUACUCCUGUACUGGUUUCAGUAAAGCGUAACUUGGUGUGUAGCUUAAUUCCGCCAGUUAGUGUCAACCACAAUUUAAUAAAUACUAAUGGAACUGAAACAAAACCAUAAAGCAACAUGACAAUAAUUUUACAAUUAAGUCAAUGUUAGAUUAACAUAAAACUCCUAACAAUAAUUAUUCUGCAAAUUAAUAUAAUAACGAUCAACACCUGUAUGACACAAUAUACAGUAUGGUUAUUUCAUAUAGGUUAUGUAUAGUCGGGUCACCAUACUGUAAUUAUAGUGCAUUGGUAAACAAGUUACUGUCUACGUCUCUAAAUUGAAUAUCACUUACUAGUAUUUAGGUUAUAUGUCUAAAAAUAAAUAAAAAUCGUGGUAUAU